UGCAUCAAGAGGACGACCUUAAAAUGAGACUGUUAAACUAUAUACUAUCAUUAAUUGUAUUAGUAUUUAUUUUUGGACACAGUGAAGGAAAUCCCAAAAUAAAUUGGAAUGCAGUCAAAAAAGGCGGGAAAUAUGCAAAACGCGGCCUUGGUGCAGUCGGCCUUUUGACUCAAGCUCAUGACUUUUACGAAAAUCAUAAACAUAAUUAGUUUAAGACAAUAAAUACUUGCAUGAUU